AUUGAACGCUGGCGGAAUGCUUUACACAUGCAAGUCGAACGGCAGCACGGACUUCGGUCUGGUGGCGAGUGGCGAACGGGUGAGUAAUGUAUCGGAACGUGCCCAGUCGUGGGGGAUAACGUAGUGAAAAUUACGCUAAUACCGCAUACGAUCUAUGGAUGAAAGCGGGGGAUCACAAGACCUCGCGCGAUUAGAGCGGCCGAUAUCAGAUUAGGUAGUUGGUGGGGUAAAGGCCCACCAAGCCAACGAUCUGUAGCUGGUCUGAGAGGACGACCAGCCACACUGGAACUGAGACACGGUCCAGACUCCUACGGGAGGCAGCAGUGGGGAAUUUUGGACAAUGGGCGAAAGCCUGAUCCAGCCAUUCCGCGUGCAGGAUGAAGGCCCUCGGGUUGUAAACUGCUUUUGUACAGAACGAAAAGGUUUCUACUAAUACUAGGAGCUCAUGACGGUACUGUAAGAAUAAGCACCGGCUAACUACGUGCCAGCCGCCGCGGUAA
rnacentral:rRNA from 1 species